GACGAACGCUGGCGGCGUGCUUAACACAUGCAAGUCGAGCGGAAAGGCCCUUCGGGGUACUCGAGCGGCGAACGGGUAAGUAACACGUGAGCAACCUGCCCUGGACUUUGGGAUAACCCUCGGAAACGGGGGCUAAUACCGGAUAUUACCUUUGCCCGCAUGGGUGUUGGUGGAAAGUUUUUCGGUCUGGGAUGGGCUCGCGGACUAUCAGCUUGUUGGUGGGGUGAUGGCCUACCAAGGCGACGACGGUUAGCCGGCCNGAGAGGGCGACCGGCCACACUGGGACUGAGACACGGCCCAGACUCCUACGGGAGGCAGCAGUGGGGAAUAUUGCACAAUGGGCGGAAGCCUGAUGCAGCGACGCCGCGUGAGGGAUGACGGCC
rnacentral:rRNA from 1 species